rnacentral:tRNA from 1 species
AGGGGCGUAGCUCAACCUGGUAGAGCACCGGUCUCCAAAACCGGCGGUUGGGGGUUCGAGUCCCUCCGCCCCUGCAA